ACUCCUACGGGAGGCAGCAGUGGGGAAUUUUCCGCAAUGGGCGCAAGCCUGACGGAGCAAGACCGCGUGAGGGAGGAAGGCUCUUGGGUUGUAAACCUCUUUUAUCAGGGAAGAAGAUCUGACGGUACCUGAUGAAUCAGCAUCGGCUAACUCCGUGCCAGCAGCCGCGGUAAUACGGAGGAUGCAAGCGUUAUCCGGAUUUAUUGGGCGUAAAGCGUCCGCAGGUGGUUUUUCAAGUCUGCUGUUAAAGCGCAGAGCUUAACUCUGUAACGGCGGUGGAAACUGAGAGACUAGAGUAUGGUAGGGGUUGCGGGAACUCCCAGUGUAGCGGUGAAAUGCGUAGAUAUUGGGAAGAACACCAGCGGCGAAAGCGCGCAACUGGGCCAUUACUGACACUCAUGGACGAAAGCUAGGGGAGCGAAAGGGAUUAGAUACCCCUGUAGUCCUAGCUGUAAACGAUGGGUACUAGGUGUUGACCGUAUCGACCCGGUCAGUGCCGUAGCUAACGCGUUAAGUACCCCGCCUGGGGAGUAUGCACGCAAGUGUGAAACUCAAAGGAAUUGACGGGGGCCCGCACAAGCGGUGGAGUAUGUGGUUUAAUUCGAUGCAACGCGAAGAACCUUACCAGGGCUUGACAUGUCGCGAAUCUCGGUGAAAGUCGAGAGUGCCUUCGGGAGCGCGAACACAGGUGGUGCAUGGCUGUCGUCAGCUCGUGUCGUGAGAUGUUGGGUUAAGUCCCGCAACGAGCGCAACCCUCGUUUUUAGUUGCCAGCAUUUAGUUGGGCACUCUAGAGAGACUGCCGGUGACAAACCGGAGGAAGGUGGGGAUGACGUCAAGUCAGCAUGCCCCUUACGUCCUGGGCUACACACGUACUACAAUGCUACGGACAGAGGGUUGCGAGCAUGCGAAUGCAAGCUAAUCCCGUAAACCGUGGCUCAGUUCAGAUUGCAGGCUGCAACUCGCCUGCAUGAAGGCGGAAUCGCUAGUAAUCGCAGGUCAGCAUACUGCGGUGAAUACGUUCCCGGGCCUUGUACACACCGCCCGUCACACCAUGGGAGUUGGCCACGCCCGAAGUCGUUACUCCAACCGUUCGCGGAGGAGGACGCCGAAGGCAGGGCUGAUGACUGGGGUGAAGUCGUAACAAGGUAGCCGUACCGGAAGGUGUGGCUGGAUCACCUCCUUUAAGGGAGACCUGCCCGCUCUACAGUCGAAAGCAAACAGCGAAUAGAUUGAGAGUUGGUCAUCCCAAGGUCGUUCGGGUUAUGAGUGUCAAGCUUCUAAACUAUUUUGGUUCGGUAUAUGGGCUAUUAGCUCAGGUGGUUAGAGCGCACCCCUGAUAAGGGUGAGGUCCCUGGUUCGAAUCCAGGAUGGCCCACCUUAUUCCUUAGAGCCUAUUAACUUGGCAAGACAUCGAUUGUUAGGUAAAUAGAAGAAGAGGAUAAAUCAAGGGGGCUUAGCUCAGUUGGUAGAGCGCCUGCUUUGCACGCAGGAAGUCAGCGGUUCGAAUCCGCUAACCUCCACUGAGAUAGAUAGAUAAGAGCCGAGAUAACGGAAGCAAGAUUCAGCAACUCAUCUUGAUAGAACAAGAGAGCCUGCUGGAUGAGAAUCCAGUUAGAACCUUGAAAACUGCAUAGUAACUUGUCAGGUAGUAAGACAAUGACGGCCAACGAGAGCUUAAUAACUUUCUGUUGGAAACGAGUUGUCACUAUCACAGACACCAAUGUAAGCGAGACUCUAGACAAUUAGCGAAAGCUAAAGACUAGAAGUUAAAAGUGGUCAAGCUACAAAGGGCUGAUGGUGGAUACCUWGGCACACAGAGGCGADG
rnacentral:sRNA from 1 species